rnacentral:rRNA from 1 species
CGGACGGGUGAGUAAUGUCUGGGAAACUGCCCGAUGGAGGGGGAUAACUACUGGAAACGGUAGCUAAUACCGCAUAACGUCGCAAGACCAAAGAGGGGGACCUUCGGGCCUCUUGCCAUCGGAUGUGCCCAGAUGGGAUUAGCUAGUAGGUGGGGUAAGGCUCACCUAGGCGACGAUCCCUAGCUGGUCUGAGAGGAUGACCAGCCACACUGGAACUGAGACACGGUCCAG